rnacentral:rRNA from 1 species
UCCACCACGGGGCCAGCAUCCGGUUGAUGACGGAUGGUGCAGGCGGUAUGCGGAGUCGCUGGGGGUAGAAGGUGCGUAGGAGGGCAGGUAGGGCAGUGGUGAGAUCCCCGAGCUUAACUUGGGAACUGACGGUGAGACUAUCGCGCUUGAAUACCGUGGAGUGGAGCGGAAUAUGUCAGGUAGCGGUGAAAGGCGUAGAUAUGACAUAGAACACCAAUUGCGAAGGCAGCUCGCUACACGAAUAUGGACUCUGAGGCUCGAAGGCGUGGGGAUCAAACAGGAUUAGAUACCCGGGUAGUC